GCAUAUCAAUAAGCGGAGGAAAAGAAACCAACAGGGAUUGCCUCAGUAACGGCGAGUGAAGCGGCAAGAGCUCAAAUUUGAAAUCUGGCCCCUCCGGGGUCCGAGUUGUAAUUUGUAGAGGAUGCUUCGGGUGCGGCCCCCGUCUAAGUGCUCUGGAACGGGCCAUCGGAGAGGGUGAGAAUCCCGUCUGGGACGGGGUGUCCGCGUCCAUGUGAAGCUCCUUCGACGAGUCGAGUUGUUUGGGAAUGCAGCUCUAAAUGGGUGGUAAAUUUCAUCUAAAGCUAAAUACUGGCCGGAGACCGAUAGCGCACAAGUAGAGUGAUCGAAAGAUGAAAAGCACUUUGAAAAGAGAGUUAAACAGCACGUGAAAUUGUUGAAAGGGAAGCGCUUGCGACCAGACUCGCUUCCGGGGUUCAGCCGGCUUUCGGGCCGGUGUACUUCCCCGGGGGCGGGCCAGCGUCGGUUUGGGCGGCCGGUCAAAGGCCCCUGGAAUGUAACGCCCCUCGGGGCGCCUUAUAGCCAGGGGUGUCAUGCGGCCAGCCUGGACCGAGGAACGCGCUUCGGCACGGACGCUGGCAUAAUGGUCGUAAACGACCCGUCUUGAAACACGGACCAAGGAGUCUAACAUCUACGCGAGUGUUCGGGUGUCAAACCCGUGCGCGCAGUGAAAGCGAACGGAGGUGGGAGCCCCCUCGAGGGGCGCACCAUCGACCGAUCCUGAUGUCUUCGGAUGGAUUUGAGUAAGAGCGUAGCUGUGGGGACCCGAAAGAUGGUGAACUAUGCCUGAAUAGGGCGAAGCCAGAGGAAACUCUGGUGGAGGCUCGCAGCGGUUCUGACGUGCAAAUCGAUCGUCAAAUUUGGGUAUAGGGGCGAAAGACUAAUCGAACCAUCUGGUAGCUGGUUCCUGCCGAA
rnacentral:rRNA from 1 species